rnacentral:rRNA from 1 species
CCUACGGGAGGCAGCAGUGGGGGAUAUUGCACAAUGGGGGAAACCCUGAUGCAGCGACGCCGCGUGGGUGAAGAAGCGCCUCGGCGCGUACAGCCCUGUCAGCAGGGAAGAAAAUGACGGUACCUGAAGAAGAAGCCCCGGCUAACUACGUGCCAGCAGCCGCGGUAAUACGGAGGGGGCAAGCGUUAUCCGGAUUUACUGGGUGUAAAGGGGGCGCAGACGGCGAUGCAAGUCAGGAGUGAAAGCCCGGGGCCCAACCCCGGGACUGCUCUUGGAACUGCGUGGCUAGAGUGCAGGAGGGGCAGGCGGAAUUCGUGGUGUAGCGGUGAAAUGCGUAGAUAUCAGGAGGAACACCGGUGGCGAAGGCGGCCUGCUGGACUGCAACUGACGUUGAUGCCCGAAAGCGUGGGGAGCAAACAGGAUUAGAUACCCUGGUAGUC